UUCUUGACUUGCUCUUCAUGGCGGGCUCUCUGCGCUUUGGCGCGGCCAACCGACAUGGGGCUGUCUCUUCACUCUCCCUCCCGUCAGCAAAUCUGCCGGAUUGGGAUGCUUGUGAUCGGUUGCCUGUGUGGUUCUACCCUUUUGUGGGUAGCGAAGCCGUCCCUCGAUGGAUAUCUGCUCGCCCUGCUGACAUUGUUUUGUCGCUCGGGCAGCCGAAAUGUCGGUGAAAUCCUCGUGUCGUUGCGUGGGCGAAUGUCUCGUUACCGUCACUUGGAUUUUUGCCGGCUCUCACGGAUGCUGUGCCCCAUUGUUAGCUCUGCGGGCGCUCUGUCCCGUGGACUUCGGGAGGUCCCUUGCAUGGAUCAUUGCUCCUGCGCUGGAUUGUCAAAUAGAUCUGUGCGUGAGGAGCGUGCUGAUGUGCAUGCGGAACGCCUCUCCGAUCGUAUGAGCAGCGGUUGUCGGUUCGUGUCAUGAGAAGGGCCUCCCGUCCGGGUUGGUGCUGGAAAUGACCGGCCGGCUAUC
rnacentral:misc_RNA from 1 species